GGCCGGUUAGCUCAGUGGGUUGAGCGUGGUACUGACAAUGAUCAACACCGAGGUUGCGGGUUCGAUUCCCGCUUGGUCCC
rnacentral:tRNA from 1 species